UGCCUCACCGACCGGAAGGAAUCCUUUCCGGUCGAUGAGGUUGUUAUACCUCAUCGAUCAGAAGGAUUUCCUUCAGAUUGAUGAGGUACAACAACCCCAUCAACUGGAAGGAAUCCCUUCCGGUUGAUGAGGUU
rnacentral:miRNA from 1 species